rnacentral:rRNA from 1 species
AGUGGCGGACGGGUGAGUAACGCGUGAGAAUCUGCCUUGGGGUCGGGGACAACCACUGGAAACGGUGGCUAAUACCGGAUAAGCCGAUUGGUGAAAGAUUUAUUGCCCGAAGAGGAGCUCGCGUCUGAUUAGCUAGUUGGUGAGGUAAGAGCUCACCAAUGCAGCGAUCAGUAGCUGGUCUGAGAGGACGAUCAGCCACACUGGGACUGAGACACGGCCCAGACUCCUACGGGAGGCAGCAGUGGGGAAUUUUCCGCAAUGGGCGAAAGCCUGACGGAGCAAGACCGCGUGAGGGAGGAAGGCUCUUGGGUUGUAAACCUCUUUUCUCAGGGAAGAAGCUCUGACGGUACCUGAGGAAUCAGCCUCGGCUAACUCCGUGCCAGCAGCCGCGGUAAUACGGAGGAGGCAAGCGUUAUCCGGAAUUAUUGGGCGUAAAGCGUCCGCAGGCGGCGAUUCAAGUCUGCUGUCAAAGCACGGGGCUUAACUCCGUAAAGGCAGUGGAAACUGAAUAGCUAGAGUGCCGUAGGGGUAGAGGGAAUUCCCGGUGUAGCGGUGAAAUGCGUAGAGAUCGGGAAGAACAUCGGUGGCGAAAGCGCUCUACUGGACGGCAACUGACACUCAGGGACGAAAGCUAGGGGAGCGAAUGGGAUUAGAUACCCC